UUUUGCGAAAAUCUUAUUACUUUUUCAAAAAUCUUCUUCUCUGAAACUACUUGGCCAAAUAUUUAGAAACUUUAAUUGAAUGUUCCUUAGGGUAUCUAGUUUAUAGAUUGUAUUUGGGAAUUUGAUCCAUUUAAAAACAUGGCGGCAGUUUCUAAAAAUAGAACAUAGGGUCAAAUGAAGUUUUUAUAUGACCGCAAAAAAAUUUUUGUGGUCGUAUAUUGGUAUGAAGUUGGCAUCGGCAGCGUUGUCCGGCGUCGUCGUCCGAAGACGCAUUAGUUUUCGCACUCUAACUUUAGUUUAAGUGAAUGGAUCUCUAUGAAAUUUUACCAUAAGGUUCAAUACCACAAAAGGAAGGUUGGGAUUGAUUUUGGGGGUUAUGGUACCAACAGUUAAGGAAUUAGGGGCCAAAAAUAAGCAUUUUUGUAAAUUCCAGACAUAACUUAUGUGUUAGUGUAUGGAUCUCUCUGACAUUGUACCAUAAGGUUCCUUAUCACAAAGGGAAUGCUGGGAUUGAUUUUGGGGGUAAUUGCUUCAAAAUUUUAGGAGUUAGGGGCCAAAAAAGGGGCAAAAAACAAGCAUUUUUCUAGUUUCAUGACAAUAACUUGUGUGUAAGUGUAUGAAUCUUUAUGAAAUUGUACUACAAGGUUCCAUAUCACAAAGGAAAAGCUGGGUUUGAGUUUUGGGGUAAUUGCCCAAAACGUUUAGGAAUUUGGGGCCAAAAAGGGGCCAAAAAACAAGCAUUUUUCUAGUUUCCAGACAAUGACUUGUGUUCAAGUGUGUGGAUCUCUCUGAAAUUGUACUGCAAGGUACCAUACCACAAAGAGAAGGCUGGGAUUGAUUUUGGGGGUAAUUGCCUCUAAAUUUUAGGAAUUAGGGGCAAAAAAGGUGCAAAAAAACAAGCAUUUUUCUAGUUUCAGGACAAUAACUUGUGUGUGAGUGUAUGGAUCUUUAAGAAAUUGUACUACAAGGUUCCAUAUCACAAAGGGAAAGCUGGGUUUGAGUUUGGGGGUAAUUGCCUUAAACGUGUAGGAAUUUGGGGCCAAAAAGGGGCCAAAAAACAAGCAUUUUUAUCGUUUCCAGACAAUGACUUGUGUUCAAGUGUAUGGAUCUCUCUGAAAUUGUACUGCAAGGUACCAUGCCACAAAGGGAAGGCUGGGAUUGAGUUUGGGGUGAUGAAUCAUAAGGGGGUUCCUUUUUAUACGACCGCAAAAAUUAAAAAAUUUUUGGUCGUACAUUGGUAUGACGUUGGUGUCGUCGUCGUCGUCGUCUGGCGUCGUCCGAAGACACAUUGGUUUUCGCACUCUAACUUUAGUUAAAGUGAAUGGAUCUCCAUGAAAUUUUACCAUAAGGUUCAAUACCACAUAAGGAAGGCUGGGAUUGAUUUUGGGGGUUAUGGUACCAACAGUUAAGGAAUUAGGGGCCAAAAAGGGGCCAAAAAUAAGCAUUUUUGUAACUUCAGACAAUAACUUGUGUGUAAGUGUAUGGAUCUCUCUGACAUUGUACCACAAGGUUCCAUAUCACAAAGGGAAGGCUGUAAUUGAUUUUGGGGGUAAUUGCCUCAAAAUUUUAGGAAUAAGGGGCCAAAAAAGGGGCAAAAAACAAGCAUUUUUCUAGUUUCAUGACAAUAACUUGUGUGUAAGUGUUUGGAUAUUUCUGAAAUUGUACUACAAGGUUCCAUAUCACAAAGGGAAAGCUGGAAUUGAGUUUGGGGGUAAUUGUCCGAAACGUUUAGGAAUUGGGGGCAAAAAAGGGGCCAAAAAUAAGCAUUUUUCUAGUUUCCAGACAAUAACUUGUGUUCAAGUGUAUGGAUCUCUCUGAAAUUGUACUGCAAGGUACCAUACCACAAAGGGAAGGCUGGGAUUGAGUUUGGGGGUGAUGAAUCAUAAGGGGGUUCAAAAAAUUUGGGGGGGGGGAUUUUUUUUCUUUUCUUUUUUUCCUUUUUUUUUUCUUUUAAAAUUUUCCAUUUUAAGUUGGUUAUUUCUGAUUUAUAUUUAAAAGCAAAUAAUAAUGAUAUGGUAGGAGAUACACACCAAACAGGAUGUGUAAAUUAUUAUAUAAUAAGUAUUGUGCAAUAGCAAGAAAUUUUCAAUAGCACAGUAUUGCACAAUAGCAAGAAAUCUUCAAUUGCACAGUAUUGCGCAAUAGCAAGAAAUCUUCAAUUGCACAGUAUUGCACAAUAGCAAGAAAUAUCCAAUAGCACAAUAUUGCACAAUAGCAAGAAAUUGUCAAUUGUACAGUAUUGCGCAAUAGCAAGAAAUAUUCAAUUGCACAGUAUUGUGCAAAAGAAGAUACUUCGUAUAAAUUGCUUAUUUCUUGAUCAAUUUCAAUGGGGUUUUAUUCUUGAAUUCUUGGGGUUCUUUAAUAUGCUGAAUCUAACUGUGUAUUAAGUUUUUGGAUUUUGGGACCCGUUUUUUAAUUGGUCCACAUUGAGGUCCAAAGGGUCCAAAAUUUAACUUUGUUUGAUUUCAUCAAAAAUUGAAUUAUUGGGGUUGUUUGAUAUGCCAAAUCUAACCGUGUAUUUAGAUUCUUAAUUUUUGGUUCCGUUUUCAAAUUGGUCUACAUUAAGGUCAAAAGGGUCCAAAAUUAAACUUAGUUUGAUUUUAACAAAAAUUGAAUUUUUAGGGUUCUUUGAUAUGCUGAAUCUAAACAUGUAUUUAGAUUUUUGAUUAUGGGCCCAGUUUUCAAGUUGGUCCAAAUCGGAGUCCAAAAUUAAACUUUGUUUGAUUUCAACAAAAAUUGAAUAUAUGGGGUUCUUUGAUAUGCUGAAUCUAACCAUGUAUUUAGAUUUUUGAUUUUUGGGCCCCGUUAUCAACUUUGUCCACAUUGAGGUCAAAAGGGUCCAAAAUUAAACUUUUUUUGAUUUCAUCAAAAAUUGAAUUCUUGGGGUUCUUUGAUAUGCUGAAUCUAACCAUGUAUUUAGAUUUUUUAUUUGUGGACCCGCUAUCAAAUUGGUUCAUAUUGAGGUCAAAAGGGUCCAAAAUUAAACUUUGUUUGAUUUCAACAAAAAUUGAAUAUAUGGGGUUCUUUGAUAUGCUGAAUCUAACCAUGUAUUUAGAUUUUUGAUUUUUGGGCCCAGUUAUCAACUUUGUCCACAUUGAGGUCAAAAGGGUCCAAAAUUAAACUUUGUUUGAUUUCAUCAAAAAUUGAAUUAUUGGGGUUCUUUGAUAUGCUGAAUCUAAACAUGUGUUUAGAUUUUUGAUUAUGGGACCAGUUUUCAAGUUUGUCCAAGUUGGGGUCCAAAAUUAAACUUUGUUUGAUUUCAACAAAAAUUGAAUAUAUGGGGUUCUUUGAUAUGCUGAAUCUAACCAUGUAUUUUGAUUUUGGACAUUGGACCAUAAUAGGUAAAUUAAAAAAAUUGAAGUUCUUAGACCACAUUCUUUCUGUGUCAGAAACCUAUGCUGUGUCAAAUAUUUAAUCACAAUCCAAAUUCAGAGCUGUAUCAAACUUGAAUGUUGUGUCCAUACUUGCCCCAACUGUUCAGGGUUCGACCUCUGCGGUCGUAUCAAGCUGCGCCCAGCGAAGCAUUUUAUUGUG